GCCGGAGUGGUGAAAUCGGUAGACGCGCUGGACUCAAAAUCCAGUGAGCCUUGGCUCGUGUCGGUUCGAGUCCGACCUCCGGCA
rnacentral:tRNA from 1 species